UGCCAGCAGCCGCGGUAAUACGUAGGUGGCAAGCGUUGUCCGGAUUUAUUGGGCGUAAAGGGAACGCAGGCGGUUUUUUAAGUCUGAUGUGAAAGCCUUCGGCUUAACCGGAGAUGUGCAUUGGAAACUGGAAGACUUGAGUGCAGAAGAGGAGAGUGGAACUCCAUGUGUAGCGGUGAAAUGCGUAGAUAUAUGGAAGAACACCAGUGGCGAAAGCGGCUCUCUGGUCUGUAACUGACGCUGAGGUUCGAAAGCAUGGGUAGCGAACAGGAUUAGAUA
rnacentral:rRNA from 1 species